rnacentral:rRNA from 1 species
CGUACACUCCUACGGGAGGCAGCAGUGGGGAAUAUUGGACAAUGGGCGAAAGCCUGAUCCAGCAAUGCCGCGUGAGUGAUGAAGGCCUUAGGGUUGUAAAGCUCUUUUACCCGGGAUGAUAAUGACAGUACCGGGAGAAUAAGCCCCGGCUAACUCCGUGCCAGCAGCCGCGGUAAUACGGAGGGGGCUAGCGUUGUUCGGAAUUACUGGGCGUAAAGCGCGCGUAGGCGGCUUUGUAAGUUAGAGGUGAAAGCCCGGAGCUCAACUUCGGAAUUGCCUUUAAGACUGCAUCGCUAGAAUCGUGGAGAGGUGAGUGGAAUUCCGAGUGUAGAGGUGAAAUUCGUAGAUAUUCGGAAGAACACCAGUGGCGAAGGCGACUCACUGGACACGUAUUGACGCUGAGGUGCGAAAGCGUGGGGAGCAAACAGGAUUAGAAACCCCGGUAGUCCCA